GAAAUGCUAGUGUUUGGGGAGCAAGCACAGCCAGUGGCACUUUUGGAAGAAAAGGGAGGGGGGGUGGAAUUGUCAGGAAAACAUGACAAAACAAAAGAGUCAGUAGAAAGCACUUCCAUUGUUGUCUGACUCCCUUUCUUGAUAGGUGAGUCCUCAGCUCAAGAGCUCACAGAAGCUGGGCAGGACUCCAAGAACCCCACAAGAGUCUCUAAACUCCCAAUCUUGUGACUGUAGUUCAAGUUGCUACAUUUUGUACGGUGCAGUGCCUUAAAACACUACUCUCAAGCAAUACAAGCAAAGAAAGCAAAUGGCAGCUCUCCUUUCCCUCCGAUCUGCCCCUCUUGACAGAGAAGUAAACCGAGAACUGUGGAACUGGAAGAGCCACUCCCCACAGGGCAUAUCUUUUGUGGUAUCUGCCCAAUACAUGUUCUGCUCUGUGAACUCCUGGGAAGGAUACCCCAUCCCACCUCCCACCAUGUCAAUGUGCUUGGAGAAGUGGAAGCCAGUAGACACACAGAAGGAGAAAGGUAAAGCAGAGGGGACUUGCGGUCAGGAGAACCUGUUGAAUCCAGGCUGUGACAUAUUCUCUCUGUUUCAAGUAAAUAAUAACAAGUCAUUGUUAUAA
rnacentral:lncRNA from 1 species